rnacentral:tRNA from 1 species
GGCAGGUUGCCCGAGCGGCCAAUGGGAGCGGACUGUAAAUCCGCCGCGUAAAGCUUCGAAGGUUCAAAUCCUUCACCUGCCA